rnacentral:rRNA from 1 species
GAUGAACGCUAGCGGCAGGCCUAACACAUGCAAGUCGAGGGGUAUAGUUCUUCGGAACUAGAGACCGGCGCACGGGUGCGUAACGCGUAUGCAAUCUACCUUUUACAGGGGAAUAGCCCAGAGAAAUUUGGAUUAAUGCCCCAUAGUGUUAUAGAAUCGCAUGGUUUUAUAACUAAAGUUCCAACGGUAAAAGAUGAGCAUGCGUCCCAUUAGUUAGUUGGUAAGGUAACGGCUUACCAAGACAAUGAUGGGUAGGGGUCCUGAGAGGGAGAUCCCCCACACUGGUACUGAGACACGGACCCAGACUCCUACGGGAGGCAGCAGUGAGGAAUAUUGGACAAUGGGCGCAAGCCUGAUCCAGCCAUGCCGCGUGCAGGAAGACGGUCCUAUGGAUUGUAAACUGCUUUUGUACAGGAAGAAACACUCCCUCGUGAGGGAGCUUGACGGUAC